rnacentral:rRNA from 1 species
UGCAGUCGAACGAAUCCCAGGGGGCUUGCUCUCUGGGGGAAGUGGCGAAAGGGGCAGUAAUGCAUGGGUAACCUACCCCGGGGACGGGGAUAGCCAUUCUAACGAGUGGGUAAUACCUGGCGAGGUCGCGGGGCUGCAUGGUCUUGCGAUGAAAUGAAUUUCGCCUCGGGAGGGGCUCAUGUGGUAUUAGCUUGUUGGUAGGGUAACGGCCUACCAAGGCCAAGAUGCCUAGCAGGUGUGAGAGCAUGACCUGCGCCACUGGCACUGAGACACUGGCCAGACUCCUACGGGAGGCUGCAGUCGAGGAUCUUCGGCAAUGGGCGCAAGCCUGACCGAGCGACGCCGCGUGUGUGAUGAAGGCCUUCGGGUUGUAAAGCACUGUCGAGGGGGAGGAAGCCGCAAGGUUGACCUAUCCCUGGAGGAAGCACGGGCUAAGUUCGUGCCAGCAGCCGCGGUAAGACGAACCGUGCAAACGUUGUUCGGAAUCACUGGGCUUAAAGGGCGCGUAGGCGGGCUGCCAAGUCAGGGGUGAAAUCUUUCGGCUCAACCGGAAAAUUGCCUUUGAUACUGGCGGUCUUGAGGGAGGUAGGGGCAUGUGGAACUUCCGGUGGAGCGGUGAAAUGCGUUGAUAUCGGAAGGAACGCCGGUGGCGAAAGCGACGUGCUGGACCUUUUCUAACGCUGAGGCGCGAAAGCUAGGGGAGCGAACGGGAUUAGAUACCCCGGUAGUCCUAGCCCUAAACGAUGGGUACUAAUUGUGGACUUGACAUGGGUUCACAGUCGAAGCAAAAGUGGUAGUACCCCCCUGGGGAGUAUGGUCGCAAGGCUGAAACUCAAAGGAAUGACGGGGGCUC